rnacentral:rRNA from 1 species
UACGAAGGGGGGCUAGCGUUGCUCGGAAUGACUGGGCGUAAAAGGGCGCGUAGGCGGCGCAUUUAGUCAGGCGUGAAAUUCCUGGGCUCAACCUGGGGACUGCGCUUGAUACGGGUGUGCUUGAGGAUGGAAGAGGCUCGCGGAAUUCCCAGUGUAGAGGUGAAAUUCGUAGAUAUUGGGAAGAACACCGGUGGCGAAGGCGGCGAGCUGGUCCAUUACUGACGCUGAGGCGCGACAGCGUGGGGAGCAAAC